rnacentral:ncRNA from 1 species
UUUAUCCAGAGUGGUGGAGGGACUGGCCCAAUGAAGCCCGGCAACCGAUGAUACGGUGCCAAUUCCUGCGGAAUAAUUCCGAGAGAUAAA